AAUGAACGCUGGCGGCAUGGAUUAGGCAUGCAAGUCGAACGGGUUCCCUUGGGAACUAGUGGCGUAAGGGUGAGUAACACGUGAGUAACCUGCCCCUGAAUCUGGAAUAAACCAGGGAAACUUGGUCUAAAACCGGAUGUCGGCACCGCGCCUCCUGGCGCUUUGCUGAAAUAUUCAUAGUUCGGGGAUGGGCUCGCGUCCCAUUAGCUUGUUGGCGGGGUAAUGGCCCACCAAGGCUACGACGGGUAGGUGGUCUGAGAGGAUGGUCACCCACACUGGGACUGAGACACUGCCCAGACUCCUACGGGAGGCUGCAGUCGAGAAUCUUCCGCAAUGGGCGCAAGCCUGACGGAGCAAUGCCGCGUGAGGGAUGAAGGCCUUCGGGUUGUAAACCUCUGUCACCUGGGACGAAAUCAAUGACGGUACCAGGAAAGGAAGCCACGGCUAACCACGUGCCAGUAGCCGCGGUAACACGUGGGUGGCGAGCGUUAUUCGGAUUUACUGGGCGUAAAGGGUCCGCAGGGGGCCUGCCACGCCCGCCGUGAAAUUUCAGGGCUCAACCCUGAACGUGCGGCGGGUACGGGCGGGCUGGAGUGCAGGAUGGGCAGACGGAAUUCCAGGUGUAGCGGUGGAAUGCGUAGAUAUCUGGAAGAACACCGAUGGCGAAGGCGGUCUGCUGGCCUGCAACUGACCCUCAGGGACGAGAGCGUGGGGAUCAAACAGAAGGAGAUACCCUGGUAGUCCACCCCGUAAACGUAGUGUGCCCGAAGAGGGCAGGGUUCGGUCCCUGUCCGUGUCCAAGCUAACGCGAUUAGCACACCGCCUGGGGACUACGGCCGCAAGGCUAAAACUCAAAGGAAUUGACGGGGACCCGCACAAGCAGCGGAGCAUGUGGUUUAAUUCGAAGCAACGCGAAGAACCUUACCAAGAAUUGACAUCUAUAUGCCAACUCACGAAAUUGAGUCUUUCUUCGGAACAUAUAGACAGGUGGUGCACGGUUGUCGUCAGCUCGUGUCGUGAGAUGUUUGGUUAAGUCCAGCAACGAGCGCAACCCUUUUUACUAGUUGCCAAUAUUAAGUUAGGAACUCUAGUGAUACUGCCGUAGAUAAUACGGAGGAAGGUGGGGAUGACGUCAAAUCAUCAUGCCCCUUAUAUCUUGGGCUACACACGUGCUACAAUGGCCAUUACAAAGAGCUGCAAUAUGGUAACAUGGAGCAAAUCUCAUAAAAAUGGUCUCAGUUCGGAUUGUGGGCUGCAACUCGCCCACACGAAGUCGGAGUUGCUAGUAAUCCCGAAUCAG
rnacentral:rRNA from 1 species